UGCAUUUAAUUGAUUAAAAAAUCAACUUAAUCGAUCAACGUUCUUUAAAAAAUCAAGAUUCAAGAAAAUGUAACUUCCCAUAAUCGAUUAAUUAACGGGUUCCCAUUUUUCAUGGCUUAAUCGAUUAAGGGUUUUCUGAAAAAGUUACUUUGGUAUGUUAUGAACCUCCUACAUGAUUUGUAAAAGUAUGAUGCAUGAUUUUGAAUGAUG
rnacentral:lncRNA from 1 species